rnacentral:lncRNA from 1 species
UUCAAGAUCACUUGAAGCCUUUAUUUAUCUGUCCCUGAUCACACUCCUUUCCUUCUCUCAAGAGGUAAUCAUUAUCCUGAAUGUGGUGUUUGUCAUACCACAUACGUGUCUUUAUAUGGUUACUAUGGUAUAUUGUGUUUUAAAUAUUUUAAUAUUUGUAAAAAUGUUAUCCAGUGUAUCCUGGUAAAUAUUUAAUAGCAUUUAUUAAGGAGGCUCUCCAAGGAGGGGGGGAAAAAAAAAGAUCUGGUUUAAAGCUUCUGCCAAUUUCUGUGGUGUAAACAUUCCCACCACAGCCAAUUUCAAGCUACUGCAUGAUGUCAGUACAUGAGAAGCUGGGAAGAGAUGAGCCCACUAAGUGUAAGCCAGUUCCAGCACUCCACCAAUUUGUUAUCCUGCCUAUAUGUCCUUUGGUAACUUGAUCUUUUUUAAACAGGAGAAAUCGAACAAAAGUUUAAUAACAUGUAUACAUGGGAGAGAUCUAGGAAAACUGAAUAAUUUGCCAAAAUGGCUGAAGCCUUCACCUUAAAUACCAUCUUCAGCUAAAGACUAUAAUAUCUUGGGAGAGAUUUUUCAUUGGACUGAUUUGAAUCAAAUGCCAUUCCCUAUUUUAGUCAUUCCAGCUAGAAGGAUUGGCUAAUGUGGUAACUAGGCUUGGGGCCUAUGCCCCCAUCUGCUCCAAAAGUUUGUAUUGUGUUAUAAUCACACAAAGGCAUUGUGAUGGCAAACCUGCUAAACCCACAUGGAGGGUGGAAGAUUAAACCCACUAAAGAAUGGAUCUUGAUGGGCUCAAACAAUAGACUCUCCCAGGAAGCCAUCCCUGUUUCUCCAGCCCUCCCAGCUCCUCUCCAUUUUUGAGCUGAUGCUGUAUCUAGAGUAUCUAUCACUUAAUUAUCAAAUUUCUUGUGUUUCCUGCUAAUUCAUUUGCUUCUUAAAGUUAGAGAUUAUGUCUACCCUUUCAGUGUAUCCUCCUUAGUCCCUAACGGAGAUCUGAGCUUGUAUGAAGAAUCUGAUAAAUACUUCCUAAUUCUUAGAAACUGUGGCCUGCCAUUUCUAAUGGAGGCAGAUCUUUUCAAUCCAUUUCUAUUGAUUUCAAUCAUAGUUUUAACCCAGAUUUAGAACUUUGACCUUAUAAUGAGACAUGAUGAGAUUCUGGAAUAGUAACAUUACUAAAAAUUUGUAUGUGCCUUGCAAUUUAGGAAACACUCUCACAUUCUUUGAUCCUUACAACUGGAUAGAAAGUAGGUGCUACCUCAUUUCAUGGAUGAAAAGACUGGGGUUCAGCAAGUUUAAAUGCCUUGCCCAAAGUAGACUGGCUGCUAAGUGGCAGAAACAGAUUAGCCACAUUCUGAUUGAGCUCUGAAAGCAAAGUUUUCAAUCACAGCCCCUAGAGAGGGCUGAGUGUCGUGGGAGGUGUGAUGAGGGAACCUUCUAGAAACAACACUUUGGGGGGCUGCCCUUGAGAAGCUUUGAUGGCCUCUUCAUCAUGUGAAGGGUCUGUGAAUGGAUUGGCCUAUGGAAACUCUACCAACAUUUGGGCACUUGCCGCCUGUAACAUGUGUUCAAAGCCUGGAACUAAAGCAUCUUUGUGGCCCCGGACGUUACUGAGGAGAGAUUCAGCCCACGUUUAAAUGCCAGAUGAUAGAAGCAAGUGGCCAAGCCGUGCAGGCAUUUUUGCCAAGUUGGAAUGGGAGCAAGUGUGACUAAGCCAAUGGGACUAGAGGUGGCAAACAAUUCGUGUCUGGUUGGAACCAAGCACCGUGUUGGCAAUAACACUUGCAGAACAAGCAAGGGUGACCAUAAACCCGUGUUCCAAGGAGCCCUGUAAAGGAAUGAGCUGCACACACUUCUGCUGUUUCACAGAAAUUCACCAGGUGGGCUCAGCUUUAACCUCAGCAAGAACAGAAAUGUCGGCAAUGUCAUCGUCAGGCCUUCCCAGCCUGCUGCUGGCCCAGCAGAAGCUUGCAAAGGCAGAACUUUUGGGGCCCAGACGUCUUGUGUCUGUUGCCUUUGCCAGAGAGUUGCUCCAGAGGAGGUUUGCAUUGUGUUAUAAUCACAUGGUUUGCAAAAUGAUAGUUAAGAGUCUGUUAGCAUUUCCACCCUAAACCUCAUAUUUUCAGCUGCUCACACUGACUCAAAUAUAAGAAUUCUCUUUAGGCUGAAAUUUGGCACACAGGGUCUCAGGCCCAGCUGGGGAGCAAUUUCAACCUUUUUUGGGACCGGAUUUCAAUAACAUCCAUUUGGCUGUUUUUGAAUAACAGCAGAAGCACAACAGAAGAGAAGUUAGCAUUUUUAUAGCAAAAUGUUGCCAUUGUGUGACUCAAAAACUGAUAUUGGGGGUAGCGGGGAACCCACCCUAGCAACUCUCAGUAAACCCUGGCAGGUGAUUAGCCUUUGAGUGGACUAGGCAUGUAUACUAUUUUCUUAAAUCUAUAUUAAAAAAAACAACAACAACAAAAAAACGAACACCCAACCGCUAGUCUGUUAUUCAGAACAGAAGAAAGAUUUUGUUUAAUAACAUAUUGUGUUUUUGAAAAGCAAAGUUGACUCAGGAACAAUGACACAUCCCAGUAGAUAUUGAAUUUCUGCUACACCCACUCCUUGGUGCAAUUGGGGCAGUGGAAAAUUGUAGGAUGCAACCAAGUUCCCAAAUGUAAAGGAAAAAAAUUGGCAAGGGAGCAGGGGACAGGAGAGAGGAAAGCAGCACUGUGACUGCAAAGACAUGAGGAACACAGCUGAUGAGCUGAGAUCAGGGACCCAAGAUAUGGUCCUUCUUUCUGGAAGGAGGGAGACAUCAGAGCUCAAAUCCUCUUCGCCUCUCUGCUCACUAAUGACAACUCCUCAAACUACAAAGGACAGAUUUCUUUCUUUAUAUAUAGUAUUUUUAUAUAUUUAUAUAUAUAUAGUAUUUUUGCCUUUUCUAGGCAUAUGGAGAUUCCCAGGCUAGGGGUCUAAUCAGAGCUGUAGCUGCCGGCCUACGCCAGAGCCACAGCAACUCCAGAUCCGAGCUGCGUCUGCAACCCGCACCACAGCUCAUGGCAACGCCAGAUCCUUAACCCACUGAGCAAGGCCAGGGAUCAAACCUGCAACUACAUGGUUUCCAGUCAGAUUCGUAAACCACUGAGCCAUGACGGGAACUCCCAACAAAGGACAGACUUCAAACAAGAAAAAUGAAACCAAAAUUAUUGUUAGUGAAAUAUUUCAGAAAAAAAUAAAGGACGGCAUAGAGAGUAAAAUAAGACAUACGCAUGGGCUCACUACUGGGUCUAUGAGAUAAAACACUGCAAAUUUGAUCAAGUCUCCUCAGCAUAUUUAUCAGCUUUUGUGAUGAUUUCCUUGUCUCUUCAAAUGAAGUUUAUUAUUGCUCUUUAUAGAGGAUAUUAUGCCUCCAGUUUGUAUUUCAUAGACGUAAUUACCUAUGAUUCUUCCUCCUACGUUGUUAAAGUUUAUCUAAAUUGUUUAAAUGUUUGAGGUCCCAUCAUGGCUCAGCAAAAAUGAAUCUGACUAGUAUCCAUGAGGACGCAGGUUCCAUCCCUGGCCUCUCUCAGUGGGUUAAGGAUCUGGUGUAGUUGCUGUGAGCUGUGGGGUAGAUCGCAGACGUGGCUCAGAUAUUGCGUUGAUGUGGCUGUGGCGUAGGCCAGAGGCUAUAACUCCAAUUUGAGCCCUAGCCUGGGAACCUCCAUAUGCCACGGGUGUGGC